UCUACAUUUCUCCAAAGACGCCACGCAGACCACCCAGGCACUGACAUGCUCUUCACCUCCUCCCAGUGCGGGGUGAUGCGCCAUCGCCUGCGUGAGCCCCUCCUCACCCCACACUUGGACACCUGGGUUGCGCCCGAGUCCGGCAGUUAGAGCCGCUGUAAAUACCCCCUGCAGACCUUCCUGUUUGCCCAGCGCUUUGGGGUAAAUACCAGGGAGGACGGCUGCUGGACGGUGUGGUAACGGCAUGUAUGUUUAGUUUCAGAAGUUGCCCAACUUUCUUCCGAUGUGCCCGAGCCGGCCCCCGACAAUACCCGAACAUUCCUGUUGCUCCAAUUCCUCCCCAACGUUUUGUCGUCCUUUUUGUCCUUUUAAAAAGCUGUCUGCUAGGGAGAUACUGAAAAAAGCAAGAAGGCUCUAUGAGCCAGCCUCUCCGCUCUGGCUGUUUACCCGGAGCCCGUGAGACACUGAUGGGAAAGACGCGUCUCCCGAGGGCACAGCAGCGGGUGCCCAGGCAGAGGGUGCCCAGAGUUCCCUUCCGUGGAACACCCGCAGCUAUUCCAGAAGGUGAAACAGCACCUUUUGGGGCACAGGGGCGGGUCUGGAGGGCAGGAGGCCCAGUCAGAACGCGAAAGGCAAGUGCUUAUUUGUGGCUUGUGAAUACCCGAGGAACACAGGCUGGCAAAGCCCUGCCAAGGGGAAUUUUAAUGACGUCUACUCCAUGGAGCGGCUGUGAGUGUCUGUUGAUGUGACAGGCUGCUCAGAUCUGCAGACUGACCAUGGGCCUUAAUGCUGAUGCACACCCUGGACAGACGCCCUACAAAGAGGUUGUGUUCUUUGUGUAUGUUGUUUGCUUCCAACAAGAAUGCAUUUUUCACUGGAAGCAAUGUUCCCAGACUGGCCACAAAAGCCCAUUUAACCCACAAUGCUCACUAGAAAAAGAUAUGUUGAAAUCUAGGAAAUGAAUAAACAGAGAAAUGAAUAAAAAAAAUACAAUU